rnacentral:lncRNA from 1 species
UUGGGGCAUAGGGUUUAGGUUUUAGGGUUUUAGGGUAUAGGGUUUAGGGUAUAGGGUUUAGGGUUUAGGGUAUAGGGUUUAGGGUAUAGGGUUUAGGGUAUAGGGUUUAGGGUAUAGGGUUUAGGGUUUAGGGUUUAGGGUAUAGGGUUUAGGGUUUAGGGUUUAGGGUUUAGGGUAUAGGGUUUAGGGUUUAGGGUAUAGGGUAUAGGGUAUAGGGUAUAGGGUUUAGGGUUUAGGGUAUAGGGUAUAGGGUUUAGGGUUUAGGGUUUAGCGUUCUAGGGUUUUAGGGUUUAGGCGUUUAGGGUUUAGGUUUAGGUUUUAGGGUUUAUGGUUAGGUUUAGGGCUUUAGGUUUGAGGGUUUAGGUUUAGGGUUUAGGGUUUAGGUUUUAGGGUUUUAGGGUUUAGGUUUAGGUUUAGGGUUAGGUUUAGGUUUUAGGUUUUAGUUUAGGGUUUUAGGGUUUUAGGUUAGGGUUUAGGUUUAGUCCGUUUAGGUUUAGGUUUUUAGGUUUAGGGUUUUAGGGUUUAGGGUUUAGGUUAGGUUAGGUUAGGGUUUAGGUGUAGGGUUUAGGGUUAGGGUUAGGUUUAGGGGUUUAGGGUUAGGGUUUAGGGUUUAGGGGUUUAGGGUUUAGGGUUUAGGUUGGUAGGGUUGUUAGGUUUAGGGUUAGGGUUUAGGGUUGGGUUAGUUAGGGUUUAGGGUUUAGGGUUUAGGGUUUUAGUUUAAGGGUUUAGGGUUUAGUUUUAGGGGUUAGGUUUAGGUUUAGGGUUAGGGUUUAGGUUUAGUAGGGUUUUAGUUUAGGGUUUAGGUUAGGGUUUAGGUUAGGGUUUAGGGUUUAGGGUUUAGCGGUUUAGGGUUUAGGUUUUAGGGUUAGGUUAUUUUAGUGGGUUUAUGGUUUAGGUUUAGGGUUAGGUUAGGUUUAGGUUUAGUUUAGGUUAGGGUUAGGGUUUAGGGUUUAGGGUGUUAGGUUUAGGUUUAGGGUUUAGGGUUUAGGGUUUAGGUUUAGGUUUAGUAGGGUUUAGGGUUAGUUUAGGGUUUAGUUUAGGGCUUUAGGUUUAGGUUUUAGGGUUUAGGUUAUUUUAGGUUUAUUUAGUUUAGGUUUAGGGUUUAGUUUAGGUUUAGGUUUUAGGUUUAGGGUUAUGGUUAGUUAGUUUAGUGUUUAGUUUUAGUUUAGGGUUUAGGUUUAGGUUUAGGUUUAGUUUAGUUAGGGUUGUUAGGGUUUAGGUUUAGGGUUUUAGGGUUUAGGGUUUAGUUUAGUAGGGUUUAGUUAUUUAGGGUUUAGGGUUUAGGUUUAGCGGUUUAGGGUUUAAGGUUUCUAGGGUUUAGGUUUAGGGUUUCAGGUUAGCGGUUAGGUAGGGUUUAGGGUUUAGGGUUUAAGGGUUUACGGUUUAGGGUUUAGGGUUUAGGGGUUUAGGGUUUCUAGGGGUUUAGGGUUAGGUUUAGGGGUUUAGGGUUUAGGUUUUGUAGUUUAGGGUUUUAGGUUUAGGGUUUAGUGUUUAGGAGUUUAGGUUUUUAGGGUUAGGGUUUAGGGUUUAGGGUUUAGGGUUUAGGGUUUGAGUUGUAGUUUUUAGGGUUUAGGGUUUUAGGGUUUAGGGCUUUUAGGCGUUUUAGGUUCUAGGUUUAGGGUUAGGGUUUUAAGGUUCUAGGGUUUAGCGGUUUGGGUUUAGGGUUUUAGGGUUUAGGGUUAGGGUUUUAGGUUUUUAGGUUUAGGGUUUAGUGUUUAGGGUUUAGGUUUAGGCGUUUUAGGGUUUAGGUUUAGGGGUUUCAGGGUUUUAGGGUUUAGGUUUAGGUUUUUAGGGUUUAGGGUUUAGGGGUUUUAGGUUUUUUAGGGUUUAGGGGUUUAGGUUUUAUGGUUUAGCGGUUUAGGGUUUAGGGUUUAGGGUUUAGGGUUUAGGUUAGGGUUUUAGGGUUAGGGUUUAGGGUUAGGGUUUAGGGUUUAGGGUUUAGGGUUCUAGAGGUUUAGGGUUUAGGGUUUAGGGUUUUAAGGUUUAGGGUUUAGGGUUAGAGUUUAGGGUUUAGGGUUUAGGGUUUAGGGUUUAGGGUUUAGGGUUUUAGGUUUAGGGUUUAGGUUUAGGUUUAGGUUUAGGGGUUUAGGGUUUAGGUUUAGUUAGGGUUUAUAUGGGUUUAGGGUUUAGGGUUUAGCGGUUUUAGGGUUUAGGGUUUAGCGGUUUUUAGGGUUUUAGGGUUUUAGGGUUUACGGGUUUAGGGUUUAGGGUAGGGUUUAGUGUUUAGGGUUAGGGUUUAGGGUUUAGUUUUUUAGGGUUUAGGGUUCUAGGGAUUUAGGUUAGGGUUUUAGGUUUAGGUUUAGGGUUUAGGGUUUACGGGUUUAGGGUUUAGGGUUUAGGGCUUUAGGGUUAGGGUUUAGGUUUAGGGUUAGGGUUUAGUUUAGGGUUUAGUUUAGGUAUAGGGUUUAGGUUUAGAGGUUUAGGGUGGUUAGGGUUUAGGGUUAGGUUUAGGUUUAGGGUUUAGGGUUUAGGGUUUAGGGUAUUUUUUUUAGGGUUUAUGUGGUUUAGCGUUAGGGUAUAGGGUUUAGUUUUAGGGUUUAGGGUUUUAGGUUUAGGGUUUAGCGGCUUUAGGUUUAGGGUUAGGUUUAGGUUUAGGGUUCUAGGUUUAGGUUUGGGUUUUAGGUUAGUUUAGGUUUAGGUUUAGGUUUAGGCGUUUAGGGUUUAGUUAAGGUUUAGGGUUUAGGGUUAGGGUUAGUUUUAGGUUUAGGGUUUACCUCCGCUCAUGUUUAGGGUUUAGUGGUUUUAGGUUUAUUAGGGUUUAGGGGUUUUAGGGUUUAGGGUUUAGGGUUAGGUUUAGGGUUUAUGGUUUGGGUUUUAGGGGUUUAGGGGUUUUAGGGUUUUAGGGUUUAGGGUUUUAGGGUUUUUUAGGGUUUAGGGUUUUAGUGUUAGGGUUUAGGGUUUAGGUGUAGGGUUUAGGUUUUAGGUUUAGGUUUAGGGUUUAGGGUUUUAGUAGGUUUUAGGGUUUAGGGUUUUAGGGUUUAGGUUUAGGUUAGGGUUUUAGGGUUUGAGGUUUAGGUGUUACGGGUUUAGGUUUAGGUUUAGGUUUAGGGUUUAGGGUUUAGGUUUAGGGUUUUUAGGUUUAGGGUUUAGGUUUAGGGUUAGGGUUUUAGGGUUUAGGGUUUAGGGUUUAGGGAUUUAGGGUUUAGGGUUAGGGUUUAGGGUUUAGGGUUUUAGGUUUAGGGUUAGCGGUUUAGGUUUUAGUCGUUCUAGGGUUUAGGGUUAGGGUUUAGGGUUUAGGUUUAGGGUUUUUAGGGUUUAGGUUUAGGGUUUAGGUUUAGGGUUUAGGUUUAGGUUUAGUUUAGGGUUUAGGGGUUUUAGGGUGUUAGGUUUAGGGUUAGGUUUAGGUUAGGUUUUAGGUUUAUGUUUAGGUUAGGGUUUUAGCGUUUAGGGUUUAGGGUUUAGGCGUUUAGGUUUAGGGUUUUAGGGUUUUAAGGGUUUAGGGUUUUAGGGUGUUAGGGUUAGGGUUUAGGGGUUUUAGGGUUAGGGUUUAGGGUUUAGGUAGGUUUAGGGUUUAGGGUUUAGGUUUUAGGGUUUAGGGUUUUAGCGGGUUUAGGGUUUAGGGUUAGGGUGUAGGGUUUAGGGUUUAGGGUUGUAGGGUUUAGGUUUAAGGUUUUAGGGUUUAGUUUAGUUUAGGGUUUAGGGUUAGGUUUAGGUUUUAGGUUUAGGUUUAGGUUUAGGGUUUAGGUUUAGGGUUUAGGGUUUAGGGUUUAGGGUUUAGGGUUUAGGGUUUUAGGGUUUAGGUUUAGGUUUAGGGUUUAGGGUUUAGGGUUUUAGGUUUAGGGUUUUAGGUUUAGGUUUUAGGGUUUAGGGUUUAGGGUUAGGGUUUAAGGGUUUAGGGUUCUAGGGUUUAGGGUUUAGCGUUUUAGGGUUUAGCGUUUAGGGGUUUAGGGUUUUAGGUUUAGGGUUUAGGGUUUUAGGGUUUAGGGUUAGGUUUUAGGGUUCUUAGGUUUAGGGUUUAGGUUUUAAGGGUUUAGGGUUUUUAGGGUUUAGGGUUUAGGGGUUUUAGCGGGUUUAGGGUUUAGGGUUUAGCGGUUUUAGUUUAGGGUUUCAGGGUUUAGGUUUAGGUUAGGGUUAGGGUUUAGAGGGUUUAAGGGUUAGGUUUAGGGUUUAGGUUUAGGUUUUAGGGGUUUAGGGUUUAGGGUUUUAGGGUUUAGGGUUUAGGGUUUUAGGGUUUAGGGUUUAGGUUUAGGGUUUAGGGUUUAGGGUUAGGGUUUGAGUUAGGUUUAGUUUUGGGUUUUAGGGUUUAGGUUUAGGUUUAGGUUUAGGGUUAGGGUUUAGGUUUAGGGGUUUUAGGUUUAGGUUUAGGGUUUAGGUUUAGGGUUUUAGGGUUUAGCGGUUUCAGGGUUUAGGGUUUUAGGGUUUAGCGGUUAAGGGUUUAGGUUUAGGGUUUAGGUUUAGGGUUUAGGGUUUAGGGUUACGGGGUUUAGCGGUUUAGGGGUUUAGGUUAGGUAGGGUUUAGGGUUUAGGGUUUAGGUUAGUUUAGGUUUAGUGUUUAGGUUUAGGGUUAGGGUUUAGGGUUAGGCGUUUUAGGGUUUAGGGUUUAGGGUUUAGGUUUCUUAGGGGUGUAGGGUUUAGGGUUAGGGUUUUAGGGUUUAGGGUUUUAGGUUUAGGUUAGGGUUCUAGGUUAGGUUUAGGGUUUAGGUUUUAGUUUAGGGUUUAGGGGUUUAGGGUUUAGGGUUUUAGGGUUUUAGGGUUUAGGGUUUAGGUUUUAGGUUUAGGGUUUAGGGUUUCGGGUUUAGGGUUUAGGUUUAGGGUUUUAGGGUUUAGGGUUAGCCGGUUAGGUUUAGGGUUUAGGGUUUAGGGGUCUAGGUUUUAGGGUUUAGGGUUUAGGGUUUAGCGGUUUAGGUUAGGGUUUAGGGUUUAGGGUUUAGGGUUUAGGUUUAGGGUUUAGGGUUUAGGGUUUAGGUUAGGGUUUAGGUUUAGCGGUUUAGGGGUUUUUUAGGGUUUAGGGUUUUUAGUGGUUUAGAGGUUUUUAGCGGUUUUAGGGUUUUAGGGUUUAGCGGUUUAGGGUUUAGGGUUUAGGGUUUAGGGUUUAGUGUUUAGGUUUAAGGGUUUAGGUUAGGGUUAGGUUAGGGUUUAGGUUUAUGGGUUUAGGUUAUAGGGUUUAGUAGGUUUAGGGUUUAGGUUAGGGAUUUAGGGUUUAGGUUUAGUUUUAGGGUUUAGAGUUUAGAGUUUAGGGUUUAGGGUUUAGGGUUAGUUAGGGUUUAGGGUUUAGGGUUUAGGGUUUAGGGUUUAGUUUGGUUAUAGGGGUUAGGAGUUUAGGUUUUAGGGUUUAGAGGUUUAGGGUUAGUGGAUUUUAGGGGUUUAGGUUUAGUGUUUAGGGGUUUAGGGGUUUAGAGUUAGGGUUUAGGGUUUAGGUUUAGGGUUUAGGUUAUAGGUUUAGUGUUAGGGUUUAGUUUAGGGUUUAGGGUUUAGAGAGUUUAGGUUUAGGUUUAGGGUUUAGGGUUUAGGGUUUAGGUUUUAGGGUUAGGGGUUUAGAGGUUUUAGCGUUUAGGGUUUAGCGGGUUUAGGGUUUAGGGUUUAGGAGUUUUAGAGGUUAUGGUUUAUAAGGGUUUUAGGUUUAGAGGUUUAGGGUUGUAAGUUUAGGGUUUAGUGUUUAAGGGUUUAGCGGAAUUAGAGUUAGGGUUUAGAAAUUUAGUUUUAGGUUAGGGUUUAGAGGUUUUAAUGGGGUUUAAGGUUAGGUGUUUAGUGGUUGGGUUUAGAGGUUUAGUGGUUUAGGUAUAGGGUUUCAGUGGCACGGGUUUAUGGUUUCCAGGGUUUUAGGGAUUAGGUUUAGGGCUUUAGGUGGUUUGUUGUGUAGUCUGCCAGGCGCGCGUAUUCAUUUUCUAGAGAUUUAGGGUUUAGGGUUUAGGUUUAGGGUUUAGGUUUAGGGUUUAAGGAUUAGGUUUAGGGUUUAAGGGUUUAGGUUUUGGUUAGGGUUUAGGGUUUUAGAGGUUUAGUGGUUGAGGGUUUCAGGGUUUAGUGGUUUAGGGUUAUAGAGGUUUAGUAUUAGGGUUUAGGUGUUAGUUUAGGUUUUAGGUUUAGGGUUGUAUGAGGUUAGGGUUUAGGACGUUAAGGGCUUUAGGGUUUAGGGGUUUUAGAGGUUUAGGGUUUAGCCGGUUUAGGGUUUAGGGUUUUGACGCGUUUAGCGGGUUUCAGGUUUAGGGUUUACGCGGUUUAGAGGUUAUAGGUUCUAGGGUUUAGGUUUAGGGUUUAGCGGUUUAGGGUUUAGGGCUUAGGAGGUUUAGGAGGUUUAGGGUUAGUCAGGUUUAGGGUUUUUAGGGUUUAGAGUUAGGGUUUAGGGUUAGUGGUUUAGGGUUUAGGUUUUAGGCUUAUAGGGUUUAGGUUUGCAGAGGUUUAGGGUUAGGGGUUUAUUCAACCGUGGUUUAGGGUUUAGGGUAUUAGGGGUCUUAGUGUUUAAUGCGGUUUACGGGUUUUAGAGUUAUAGGGUUUUAGGGUUUAGGGUUUUAGGGUUAGGAUUAGGUUAGGGUUUAGUGGUUUUAGGUUAGGGUUUAGGUUUAGUGGUUAGGUUUAGGGAUAUUGGUUUUAGGUCUAGGAGGUUCUUAGGUUUUAGGGUUUAGGGUUAAGGGUUUUAGGUAUUUUUAGGUUUUUAGGUAUUUAGGGUUUUAGGGUUUUGUUUUUAGAGCUUUAGGGUUUUAGGGUUUAGGGUUUAAGGGGUUUUAGGUAGGUUAGGGUUUAGGUGUUAGGGUUUAGGGUUUAGGUUUUAGGUUAUAGGUAUUAGGGUUUAGGGUUUAGGGUUUAGGGUUUGAGGGGAUUUAGCGGUUUAGGAUUUUUAGGGUUAUAGGGUAUUAGGGUUUAGGGUUUAAGGUUUAGGGUUUAGACUUGGGUUUUUAGGUUUAGGGUAGGGUUUUAGGGUUUUAGGGUUGUUUAAGGUUUUGAGUUUUAGGGUUUUAGGUUUUAGGUUUUAAGUUUUAGGGUUUUAGGGUUUUAGGUUUAGGGUUUUAGGGGUUUAGGGUUUAGGGUUUAGGUUUAAGGGUUUAGGGUUUAGGGUUUAGAGGUUUUAUGGGUUUAGGGUUUAUUGGUUAGGGUUUAGGGUUUAGGGAUUUUAGGGUAGUUGGUUAUAGGUUUAGGUUUUAGUGGUUUAGGUGGUAGUUUUAGGGAUUUAGGUAUUAGGGCUUAGGUUUAGUUUAGCGGGUUUAGGGUUUAGGUUUAGGGUUUAGGGUUUAGGAUGUUAGGGUUUAGGCUUUAGAGUUUUAGGUUUAGGGUUUAGUGGAUUUAGGGUUUAAGUGGUUUAGAGGUUUAGGGUUUAGGGGUUUAGGUUUAGGGUAUUAGGGGUUUAGGGUUCUAGGGUUUAGGUGUUUAGAGGGUUUUACGGGUUUAGCGGUUUAGGGUUAAUAGGGUUUUAGGGUUUAGGGUUUAGGUUUAGGGUUUAGGGUGUUAGUUUAGGGUUUAGGGUUAGGUUUAGGUUUAGUGGUUUAGGGUUUAGGGUUUAGGGGGGUUUUUAGGGAUUUAGUGUUUUAAGGGUUUUAGGUGUUUAGGGUUUAGGUGUUUAGGUUUUAGGGUUUAGGUUUAGAGGUUUAGGGUCUUAGGGUUUAGGGUUUAGGGUUUUAGGGUUAGGGUAUUUAGGUUUUAGGGUUUAGGGUUAGGGUUUAGGGUUUACGGUUUAGGGUUUUAGGGUUUAGGUUUUAGGGUUUAGGGUUUAGUGGUCUUAGUUUAGGUUAGGGUUUCGGGUUUAGGGUUUAGGUUUUUAGGGGUUUAGGUUUAGCGUUUAGUUUAGGGUUUAGGGUUUAGUGUUAGGGUUUAGGGUUAUAGGUUUAGGUUUAGGUUUAGGGUUUAGGGUUUAGGUUUAGAGGUUUAGGGUUUAGGUUUAUGUAGGGUUUAGGGUUUAGGGUAUAGGUUUAGUUUUCAGGUUUUUAGGGUUUAGGGUUAGUAGUUUAGGGUUUAGGGUUUAGGGUUAGGUUUCAGGUUUAGGUUUUAGGGUUUUAGGGUUAGUGAGGUUUAGAGGUUUAGUGGUUAGGGUUUAGGUUUAGGGUUUAGGGCUUUAGGUUUUAGUUCGGAAUAUUAGGGUUUAGGGUUUAGGGUGUUAGAAGGUAUUAGGGUUUAGGGUUUUGAGGCGGUUUAGGGUGUAGUUUAGCGGUUUAGGGUCUUUAGGGUUUUAGGGUCUUUAGGUUUUAGGGUUUUAGGGUUUAGAGGUUUAGGGUUAGCUGUUUAUAGGUUUAGGGGUUUAGCGGUUUAGGGUUUAGGGGUUUAGGAGUUUAGGGUAGAAUUUAAGGGGUUAUUAGGGGUUUGGGUUUAGGGUUUAUGUGGCUUUAGGGUUUUAGCGGUUUAAGAAGAGUUUUAGGGUUUAGGGUUUAGGUUUUAUGGGUUUAGGGGUUUAGCGGUUUAGAGUUUAGGGUUUGAUGUUUAGGGGUUUAGUUUAGGGUUUAGUUAGGUUUUAGCGUUUAUGGUCUUAGGGUUUUUAGUGGUAUAUAGGUUUGGUUUAGGUUUUAGUUUAUUGGUUUAAGGGUUUAGGGUUUAGGGUAUUAGGGUUUCAGGAGGUGUUAUUUUUUUUAGGGUUUAGUUUAGAGGUUUAGGGUUUUAGGUUUUAGUGGGUUUAGGUUAGCGGUUUAGGGUUUUAGGGUUUAGGAUUUAGGUUUAGUUAGGUAGUGGUUUAGGGUUUAGGGUUUAGUGUUUAUGGGUUUAUGGAUUUAACGAGUUUAGCCCUGGUUUAGGGUUUAGGUUUAGGGUUCUAGGGUUUAGGUUUAGGGUUUUUUAGGGUUUUUAGGGUUUAGGGUUUUAGGUUCUAGGUUAGGGUUAGGGUUUAAGGGGUUUUAGGGUUUAAGGAGAUUAGGGUUUUAGAGUUUUAGGGUUUAGUGUUAGGGUUUUAGCGCGUUUAGGGUUUAGGGUUUAGGGUUAGGGUUAGCCGGGUUUAGGGUUUAGGUUUUAGUCGAGUUUAGGGUCUAGAAGAGGUUUGAGGGGUUUAGGGUUUAGCGUUUAGGGUUUUAGGGUUUAGUAGUAUAUAGGGUUUAGGGGUUUAGGGUUUAGGGUUUAGGGUUUAGAGGGUUUAGGUUUAGGGUUUAGGGGUUUAUAGUAUCAGAGUUUAGUGAAUUUAGGGGUUUAGGGGUUUAGAGGGUAUUAGGGUUUAGGGUUUAGAGGUUUAGGGUUACGGGUUAUAGAAGGUUUUAGGUUAUAGGUAUUUGUAGAUUAUAGGGUUUAGGGUUUAGGGUAUUAGUUUAGGGUUAGGUUAUAGUAGUUUAGGGUUUAGGGGUUUUAGGGGUUUAGUGGUUAGAGGUUUAGGGUUUUAGAGGGUUAUAGGGUUAGUGUUUAGGGUUUAGGUUUAGCGGGUUCUAUGGGUUUAGGGUUUAGACGGUUAGGGUUUAGCGUUGAGGUUUAGGGUUAGGGUUUUAGGGUUUUAGUAGGUUUAGGGUUUAGGUUUACGGUUUAGGUUUAGGGUUUUAGGGGAUAGGGUUUAGGGUUUAGGUUUAGGGUUUAGGUUUAGGGUAGGUUUAAGGUUUAGGAUUUAGGGUUGGAUUUUAGGGUUUUAGGUUUAGGGGUUCUAAGGUUUUAGGGGUUUAGAGGUUUAGGGUUUAGCGUUAGACUGGGUUUUAGGGGUUUAGGGUUUAGGUUUAAGGGUUAGGUUUAGGGUUUAGGUUUAGGGUUUAGGGUUUAAGGUUUUAGGGUAGUGUUUUACGGUAGGGUUUAGAGGUUUUAGGGUUAGGGUUUAGGAGUUUAGGGUUUUAGAGUUUAGGUUAGGGUUUAGGGUUUAAGGGUUAGAGGUUUAGGGUUUAGGGUUUAGGGUUUAGGGUUUAGGGUUUAGGUCUCGUAGUGAAUUUAGGUGUUAGGUUUAGGGUUUAGGUUUUAGGGGUUUAGAGGGUUCUUAGAAGGUUAGUUUAGGUUAGGGUUAUAUGCAGAGAUUAGGGUUUGUUAGCGUUUAAGUUUAGGUUUAGAGGUUUAGGGUUUAGGUUUAGGGUUAUAGGGUUUUAGGGUUUAGGGCUAUAGCGGUUUAGGGUUAGGGGUUUUAGGGUUUAGGAAUUUAGGAUUUAGGUUUAGGUUUAGGUGUUUAGGGUUUAGGGUUUAGUUAGGGAUUUUAGGUUUAGGUUUAGGUUUAGGUUUAGAGGUUUAGAGAUUAGGUUUAGGGUUUUGAGGGUUUAGGUUUAUGGGUUAGGGUUUAGGGUUUAGGUGUUUUAGGGUUAGGGUUUGUUUAGGGUUUAGUUUUAGGGUUUAGGGUUUACAGGUUUAGGUUUAGCCAGGUUUAAGGUUUAGUUUAGGGUUUAAGGGUUUAGGGUUUAGGUUUACGAGUUAGGGUUUAGGUUUAGGUCUAUAGAGGUUUAGGGUUUAGGGUUUAUGUUUUAGGUUUAGUAGUUUAGGUUUAGAGGUUUAGGGUUGGGUUUUAGGUUUAGGUUUAGGGUUCUAGGGAUUUAGGGUUUAGGCGGUUUAGCGCGUAUAUAAGGUUUUCACGCAUUUAGGUGUUGGUGGUUUAGGGUUUUAGUGGUUGUUAGGUUUAGGUUUAGGGUUUAGGGUUUAGGUUUUAGGGUUUGUAGGGUUUAGCGGUUUAGGGUUUUAGGGUUUUUAGGUUUUUAGGUUUUAGGGUUUAGAUUGUUCAGGGUUUUUAGGUUUUAGGGUUAGGUUUAUAGUUUAGGGUUUAGGUUUAGGGUUCAGGGUUUUAGUGGUUUUAGGGUUAGAUUGGUUUAGUGGUUUAGGGUUUUAGGGGUUCGUAGGGUUUAGCGGGUUUAUGGGGUUUAGGGUUUUUAGGUUUUAGGGUUUAGGUUUAGGGUUUAGGUUUAGGAUUUAGUGUUUGUAGAGGUUUUAGGCGUUUUAGUGGUUUAGGGUUUAGCGGUUUAGGGUUUAGGGUUGGUAGUGGUUAGGUUUAGAGGUUUAGGGUUAUAGGGUUUUUAGCGGUUGUGGGUUGUAGCGGUUUAGGGCGGUCUUUAGGGUAUUACGGGUUCUUAGGGCUUUAGGGUUUAGAGUUAGGGUUUAGGGUUUGGGUUUAGGGGAUUUAGUUUUAGGGUUUUAGGGUUUAGGUUUAGGUUGUUUAGGGUUUAGGGUUUAGGGUUAGGUUUAGGAGUUUUAGGGUUUAUGUGUUUAGGGUUUAGGGUUUAGGUUAGUGAUUUAGGGUUUAGGGCUUUAGGGUUUUAGGUGUUUUAGUGUUUAGGUUUGGGUUGUGUAGCGGUUUAGGGUAGUGGUUUUAGAAGGUUUAGGGCUUUAGGUUUAGGGUUUAGGGUUUUAGGGAUUUAGCGGUUUAUGGAUUUUAGGUUGGGUAGUGAUUUAGGUAUAGGGUUUAGGUUUUAGGGUUUAGGUUUAGGGUUUAGGUUUAGUGUUUAGGGUUUGAGGGGUUUAGGGGUUAGGAGUGGUUUUAGCGGUUUAGGGUUUAGGGUUUAGGGGGUUUAGGGUUUAGGGGUUUAGUUUUAGGUUUAGUUUUAGUGGUUAGGGUUAGGGUUUUAGGUUUUAGGGUAUUUAGGUUUUAGGGUUUUAGGGUUUAGGUUUUAGGUUUUAGGGUUUAGGUUUAGGGUUUAGGGGUUUACGUUGGGGUUUUUAGUAGGUUUAGGUUUCGGGUUUUAGUAGGUUUAGGGUUUAGUUCAGGAGGUUUAGGGUUUAGUAGGUUUAGAGUUUAUGGGUUUUCAGGGUUUAGGGUUUAGGGUUUAGGGUUAGGGUAGGGUUUAGCGGUUUAUGGGUUUUUAGGGUUUAGGUUCUUAUUUAGUUUAGGGUUUAGGGUUUAGGGUUUAGGUUUAGGUUAGGGUUUAGUGUUUAGUUUUAGGUUUCAGGGUAGGGUUAGGGUUUAAGGGUUUUAGGGUUUAGGGUUUAGGUUUAUUAGGUUAUAGGGUUAGGGUUUUAGGGUUUAGGGUUUAGGGUUUAGGGUUUAUGUGGUUAGGGUUAUAGGGUUUAGGGUUUAGCGGUUUAGGGUUUAGGCGUUUUAGGGGUUUAGGUUUAGGGUUUGAGGGUUUAGGGUUUAGGGUUUAGGGUUUAGUGGUUUAGGGUUUUAGAGCGUUAGGUUUUAGGGGUUUAGGGGUUUGAGGGUUUUAGGGUUUAGUGUUAGGGUUUAGGGUUUUAGGGUAUUAGGUUUAGGGUUUAGGUUUAGGGUCAGAAAACCUAUUUAGGUUUAGGGUUAUAGGGUUUAGGUGUUACGAGGGUUUAGGGUUCUAGAGGUUAGCGGUAGUUAGGGUUUAGCGGGGUUUAGGGUUUAGCUGGUUUAGGGUUUAGCGGUUUAGGGUUGUAGUGGUUUAGGGUUUAGAGGUUUAGGGUUUAGGUUUAGCGGUUUAGGUUUUAGCUUUUAGGGUUUAGAGGUUUAGGGUUUAGGAUUUAGGUUUAGGUUAGGGUUUAGAGGUUGUAUGGUUUAGUCGUGUUAUAGGGUUUUAGGUUUAGGCGGUUUAGGUUUAAGGGUUUAGGGUUUAGGUUUAGUUUAGGGUAGGUUAGUGUUUAGGGUUUAGGGUUUAGGGUUUAGGGUUUAGCGGUUUAGGUUCUCUCAGGGUUUAGUGGUUUGUGGGGUUAGGUUUAGGGUUUAGGGUUUAGGGUUUUAGGUUUUAG